UACGUAGGGGGCUAGCGUUGUCCGGAUUUAUUGGGCGUAAAGAGCGUGUAGGCGGCCAUGUAGGUCUGGUGUGAAAACUCGAGGCUUAACCUCGAGAUGUCAUCGGAAACCAUCUGGCUAGAGUCCGGAAGAGGAGAGUGGAAUUCCUGGUGUAGCGGUGAAAUGCGCAGAUAUCAGGAAGAACACCAAUGGCGAAAGCAGCUCUCUGGGACGGUACUGACGCUGAGACGCGAAAGCGUGGGGAGCGAACAGG
rnacentral:rRNA from 1 species